AAAAAAAAAAAAAAAAAUCCAAGUUAGUGUCCACAAGCAAGUAAACUCAUUUGUUCUUCAAUUAAGUUCAUACCAACAUCAAUUAUAUCUUGAUAUGUACUUGCAUCUUUUUCUGCACAGGUGCUCUUUUUCAUUAGUUUUCAGUAUUUAAUUAAAUAUCUAUGGUUUGUGUUCUUGACAUCUAAAAUGAUUUCAAAUUUGCAGUUUGGUUAUAUUGUGUUG
rnacentral:misc_RNA from 1 species